UACGUAGGGUGCAGGCGUUACUCGGAAUUACUGGGCGUAAAGCGUGCGCAGGCGGUCUUUUAAGUCAGAUGUGAAAUCCCCGGGCUCAACCCGGGAACUGCGUCCGAUACUGGCGGGCUUGAAUCCGGGAGAGGGAUGCGGAAUUCCAGGUGUAGCGGUGAAAUGCGUAGAUAUCUGGAGGAACACCGGUGGCGAAGGCGGCAUCCUGGACCGGUAUUGACGCUGAGGCGCGAAAGCCAGGGGAGCAAACGGG
rnacentral:rRNA from 1 species